UAGGGAAUCUUGCACAAUGGGCGAAAGCCUGAUGCAGCAACGCCGCGUGAAGGAUGAAGGCCUUCGGGUUGUAAACUUCUGUUCUAAGGGAAGAAACAAAUGACGGUACCUUAGGAGCAAGCCCCGGCUAACUACGUGCCAGCAGCCGCGGUAAUACGUAGGGGGCAAGCGUUAUCCGGAAUUAUUGGGCGUAAAGAGUGCGUAGGUGGUUACCUAAGCGCAAGGUUUAAUUUAGAGGCUCAACCUCUACUUGCCUUGCGAACUGGGCUACUUGAGUGCAGGAGGGGAAAGCGGAAUUCCUAGUGUAGCGGUGAAAUGCGUAGAUAUUAGGAGGAACACCAGCGGCGAAGGCGGCUUUCUGGACUGUAACUGACACUGAGGCACGAAAGCGUGGGUAGCAAACAGG
rnacentral:rRNA from 1 species